GACGUAGGGGGCAAGCGUUGUUCGGAAUUAUUGGGCGUAAAGCGCUCGUAGGCGGGACAGGAAGUUCGUGUUGAAAGACCUCGGCUCAACUGAGGGACCGGCUCGAAUACUCUUGUUCUUGAGGCAAUCAGAGGGUGAUGGAAUUCCCGGUGUAGCGGUGAAAUGCGUAGAUAUUCGGAAGAACACCAGUGGCGAAGGCGGCUCACUGGACUGGUAUUGACGCUGAGGUGCGAAAGCGUGGGGAGCAAACAGG
rnacentral:rRNA from 1 species